ACAAGCGGUGGAGUAUGUGGUUUAAUUCGAUGCAACGCGAAGAACCUUACCUGGUCUUGACAUCCCGGAGACCCUUAGGAAACUAGGGGGUGCUUCCAUCUGGAAGAAUCUGGAGACAGGUGCUACAUGGCUGUCGUCAGCUCGUGUCGUGAGAUGUUGGGUUAAGUCCCGCAACGAGCGCAACCCUUGCCUUUAGUUGCCAGCAGUUCGGCUGGGCACUCUAAAGGGACUGCCGGUGUUAAACCGGAGGAAGGUGGGGAUGACGUCAAGUCCUCAUGGCCUUUAUGACCAGGGCUACACACGUACUACAAUGGCCGAUACAAAGGGCAGCGACACUGCGAGGUGAAGCCAAUCCCGUAAAAUCGGUCUCAGUCCGGAUUGGAGUCUGCAACUCGACUCCAUGAAGUUGGAAUCGCUAGUAAUCGUGGAUCAGACAAUGCCACGGUGAAUACGGUUCCCGGGCCUU
rnacentral:rRNA from 1 species